UCAAGAAAUAAUGUAAUCUAUAAUGUGUAUUCCUCUAAAUUAAUAGAAUAAAACUUUGAAGCCCACAAAAUUGUCAACAUCGUACAUAUUUUACAUAAACAAUAAAUCAAAAUGGGUUUAUCUUUAAGUAAAGCAUUUCAAUUUAAUCAACCGGUUGAAAAGAUAGAUAAUGAACCACCAUCCACAUCAACGAAAUCUGUUGUUAGGAACAAUAAAUUAAACCAAUCACAAGUAAAUCUAUACCCAAGCAAGCCACAAAAUCGCAAAGCUCACGAAACAAUACUUUGUUGUGAUGAUCAUCCUGAUAUCAUAACAGAAGAAGAAUGCACUGGACGUGACAUCAAAGAUCUUACUGCAGAGGAGAUAGAAGUAAGGUUUCAAAAUGUAUGCCAAAAAUCAAUCGAGUCGAUUAACAAUCUGUCAGGUGAUGUGGGCAUAGAGAUUAGGAAAGCCAUAUUAAAUUAUGUUGAUGAAAAUGCCAUAAGAAUGAGGCAGUAUUAUUUGGAACUUAAAGCAUAUGAAGAAGAGGCGACAAAAGAAAAACCAAAAAUACUUACUCCACUGAACGUCGAGACAACUGUUGAUAGCUCUCAUAAUGAAAGCACCGUUUAAGCUUUCAUUUGCGUACAUACAGAAUAUAACCUAACCUCCGGUAAGAUCAUAUAUGAUAAAAUGGAUAUUAUAUAUGACAAUGGAUAUUGGAUAAGUUUAAUUAAAGAAUAUUUUUAAUUUAGGAUCAAUAUGGAUUAAAACAUAACGCCUUUCUGUAUUGAAAAAUUGCUGGCAGAUCCAAACAGAAGAUUGACUAUACAACUUUCACAGGAAUCAAGAUAAAGAGCUGAAGUAGCAUAAUAUAAAUAUUUAUUAAUCCAUUAUGUACAAAUUUCGCAAAAUAUAUUUUUAUAUACCCUUAAACUUACAAUAA